rnacentral:tRNA from 1 species
GUUGUGGCUCAGUGGCAGAGCACUUGCGUAGCACGUGUGAGGCCCUGGGUUCAAUCCUCAGCAAGACA